AUGGACAAGUCGGGAACUGAACUAGCAAGUCCAGAAACACAUGGUCCUGUAGAUAAGUUAUUUACAGCUCUUGAACAGGCAUCAGACUUUUCCUUUUCAGUGCUGCAAGAGUCAUUCAGAACUGUUGAUUUCGUAGUCACGGUGCAAGCAUUGUCCUGGUGA
rnacentral:rRNA from 1 species